CAGCUACCCCGACAUCAAGGGCGAGAAGGCCAUGGUGCUGCUUGGCCAUGUCAAGUACGGUCUGCACAAUCUUCCAGAGGGCCCUGGCAUGAUGGAACCACCCAGCUGGAUCGAAGCUGAGGAGAAAAAUAAUGAAAAUGUGCAUCCCACGCUCUAGGACCCACCUUACAAAGGAGAGCCCUAGGGCUGCAGACUGGGGCACAAAUUGUAGGGGGAGGCUCCACCUCAAUCCUCCCCUGCCACAGCCAACA
rnacentral:lncRNA from 1 species